rnacentral:rRNA from 1 species
UACGUAGGGGGCAAGCGUUGUCCGGAAUCAUUGGGCGUAAAGCGCGUGUAGGCGGUCCGGUAAGUCGGUUGUGAAAGUCCAGGGCUCAACCCUGGGAUGCCGAUCGAUACUGCCGGACUAGAGUCCGGAAGAGGCGAGUGGAAUUCCCGGUGUAGCGGUGAAAUGCGCAGAUAUCUGGAGGAACACCGGUGGCGAAGGCGGCAUCCUGGACCAAUUCUGACGCUGAGUGAGCGAAAGCCAGGGGAGCAAACGGG